UGUUAAAAAAUUUAUCUUUUUUACUAUUAAAAAUUAGCGUGACAGACGAAAUAACUAGAUAGUGACACAUGACACGUGUACCUCAUAUUGAUGUGUAUGAACUAAUUUUUUAACAAUAAAAAUAAAUGAAAUAUUUAACA
rnacentral:pre_miRNA from 1 species